GCCCCUCCCACGGGAGGAGAUGUUGAUAGUCGGAGUGAACAGAGUAAGGAUAUUCUCUGGAACAAAUCGUACUAGUGGGUGGGUGUCUGUAUCUUAAAGGCAGGAACAGAGGCUCUGUGCCUCCUCCACCUGUUAGUCCAGCCAGGCACCCCACCCUGGAUGCAGCUUUGGGCCUGAGGCCGAGAGGACUGGGACACUGGUCUUCUCCUUCCUUUGGACUCAGACUCAGACUUAGACUGGAAUUUACAACAUCAACUCACCUGGGUUUCCAGCUUGCCAACUUCAGAUCUUGGACUUCUCAUCUUCUAUAAUCAUGAUCUGUUCCAGAAGGAACUGCUGGAUCAAAGCAUGUGCGAACUCUUAAGGCUUCUGAUACAUAUUGCCAAAUUACCACUCGAAGGACUUACCAGCAGUGAAUGGGAGAACCUCUUCCCCAGGGUCCUGACCCACCCAACCAUAAACACACAAUAAGGAAGUAAGGGGGAUGGGGGAGGGAUAUUAAUGUUUUAAUUUGUUCUUUUGUUUAUAAGUAAAGAAAAAUUUGUUUAUUCCUUAUGAUUAUUUGUAUUUUUUCUUUUAUAAAUACUCUUUGUUUAUUAU
rnacentral:lncRNA from 1 species